UACGUAGGGUGCGAGCGUUGUCCGGAAUUACUGGGCGUAAAGCGUGCGUAGGCGGUUCGUUAAGUCAGCUGUGAAAGCCCCGGGCUCAACCUGGGAAUUGCGGUUGAAACUGGCGAACUAGAAUCUGGCAGAGGGGGGGUGGAAUUCCACGUGUAGCAGUGAAAUGCGUAGAGAUGUGGAGGAACACCGAUGGCGAAGGCAGCCCCCUGGGCUGAGAUUGACGCUCAGGCACGAAAGCGUGGGGAGCAAACAGG
rnacentral:rRNA from 1 species